GACAUGAAUAAAAGUUUCUCUCAUUAAAAAUUACACAAGAGCAUACUAGUUAUUCAAGUACACAUAACAUAUCCAAAAAUAGUAUAUAUAAACGAGUGAAGAACUCUUCACUCAAAGACUGGAGGCCGAGCUCCAUAUAUUCUUGCCCUUGGUAAACCCAAGUUCUGUAGUAAUUAUUUCCCCACUCUAAGACUAGGUUUUGACUGAAAAAAUGCAUGUAGU
rnacentral:lncRNA from 1 species